ensembl:snoRNA Gm25200 predicted gene, 25200
GCCCUCCUCAUGUUACCACAGACUGUGUUCUUAUGCUGACUCUAUAUAGAAAGGAGGCAGAGUAAACCCAUCCCCUGUUUGCCUAAGCCCAGGCCGUUGUGUCCAGGCCAUUGUGUCUAGUCUGUAUUGUGAAUGGGGGAUCCAUGG